GACGAACGCGGGCGGCGUGCUUAACACAUGCAAGUCGAACGCUGAAGCUGGAGCGUGCUCUGAUGGAUUAGUGGCGAACGGGUGAGUAACACGUGAGUAACCUGCCCUGGACUCUGGGAUAACCCCGUGAAAGCGGAGCUACUACCGGUUAGGACCUCGGAUCGCAGGAUCUGGGGUGGAAAGUUUUUCGGUCUGGGAUGGACUCGCGGCCUCUCAGCUUGUUGGGGAGGAAAUGGCUCACCAAGGCGUCGACGGGUAGGUGGCCUGGGAGGGUGACUGCUCAGACUGGGUCUGAGCCACGGCGCAGACUCCUCCGGGAGGCAGCAGGGGGGAAUAUUGCACAAUGGGCGCAAGCCGAAUGCAGCGACGCCGCGUGCGGGACGACGGCCUUCGGGUUGUAAGACGCUUUUAGUAGGGAAGAAGCCUUCGGGUGCCGGUACCUGCAGAAAAAGGACCGGCUAACUACGUGCCAGCCGCCGCAGUAAGAC
rnacentral:rRNA from 1 species